rnacentral:sRNA from 1 species
UGACCAUCCCUCUGGUGAGGGAUCGAGGCUACACGGAUGGCCGGGUCAAAUGCCGA